rnacentral:lncRNA from 1 species
CCUCCUCAACCACACUCGAGCCCUAUUCUCAAAGCAAUAAGCGGCUACGUAAGGUACCGGACUUCUAAAAUUACGAAGUUACGGUGUACAUUCGGUUGACAAGCCAUUUGAAUCGUCCCGGUGAGGUUCGGUGAAGUUCGGUGAAGUUCUGGAGCAAUCGGGCGUUUCGGUGCGCGUAGGCACGAAAACGAAACCCGAAAGGCUAUGUUGGGCCGUGAGUUAAAUCCGGCAUUAGCGUGGAUGGAAAGAUGAUGAAAACGUGCUCGAAAAUAUGUUUGGAGAGUCUCGGUUCGAUUUGAAAAGAAUCGGAAGUCAAGCGAGCGAAAACGAGCGAAAACAGACGAAAAGCUGAAAUUUGGCUAAGUCUGGAAUUUUGA